UGAGGGGCAGACCGCGGCGGCGGGCGUGGGCAGCGAGGGCAGCGGGCCAGGACGGAGUACCGCCUCGCAGACCAGACACCUCGCCGGCUCUGCUCGCCGACCGCAAGCAUAGCAACCUACCGGCGGCAGGGAGGAGGCGCAGGGCGAGAUUCAGGAUUCUCUGUGAUGGUGGCAAGAGUACUAGGACCUAAGGAUGAGCGAACUUGACCAGUUAUGGCAGGAAGCUGAGUAGCUCAAGAACCAAAUCAGGGAUGCUCGGAAACCAUGUGCAGAUGCAGCUCUCUCACAGAUCACAAACAACAUCAACCCAGUGGGAAGAAUCCAGAUGCGCACCAGGAGGACUUUGAGGGGGCACCUGGCCAAGAUCUAUGCCAUGCACUGGGGCACAGCCUCACAGCUCCUGGUUAGCGCUUCGCAGGAUGGAAAAUUAAUCAUCUGGGACAGCUAUACCACAAACAAGGUCCAUGCCAUCCCCCUGCGCUCCUCCUGGGUCAUGACCUGUGCUUAUGCCCCCUCUGGAAACUACGUAGCCUGUGGUGGCCUGGACAACAUUUGCUCUAUCUACAAUCUGAAGACUCACAAAGGGAACGUGCAUGUGAGCCGGGAGCUGGCGGGACACGCAGGCUACCUGUCCUGCUGCCGAUUCCUGGACCACAAUCAGAUCGUCACCAGCUUUAGAGACACCACAUGUGCACUGUGGGACAUUGAGACUGGCCAGCAGACAACCACGUUUACUAGACACACUGGGGACAUCAUGAGCCUGUCUCUGGCUCCCGACACCAGACUAUUUGUCUCCAGUGCUUGUGACGCCUCAGCCAAGCUCUGGGAUGUCUGA